UGAAGAGAAUUACUAUGAAACCCAGCAAUCCCAACCUCUGGGUGUAUUACCCAAAGGUAUUCAAAGCACAAUCUCAAAGAGGUAUCUGUCUACUCAGGGUCAUAGCAGUGGUGUUCACAAGAGAUGAAAGGUGGAAGAAAUCCAGGUGUUCACCAGUGAUGAGUGGAUACACCAAAUGUGAUCUAUCCAUACAGUGGAGUGUUAUUCAGCCUUAAAAAUGAAGGAGAUUCUGUCGCAUGCUACCACAUGGAUGAAGCUGGAGGACAUUGUACUGAGUGAAUAAGCCAGUCACCAAAGAUUACAUAUCAAACCCCAGAUGAAAGAGGGACCUUCAGACUGUUGUGCCUUCCCCAGCAAAAGCAAGAUCACAGCGACCACGUGCUGCCCUUUGUGUGGAGAGGCUGCCACCGGGCUCUAAGCAGUAAACCCACAUCAAGGUGAGAGCUGAAGCCCAGGACUCCACCACGCUCCUGGUGGGCUACAAACAUGGCCAUGGCCACCUGAGUGCCAGGAUCACCAUCACUGCCUACCUGUCCCUCAAGCACGACCCUCCCAUGCCCGUGUCUGCUUCCAUGGAGCUCAUCCUGGUGGAGGAUAUCAGAGUGAGUCCAGAAGAGGUGACCCUCUACAACCACGUGGCAUCCAGCUGGAGUGGCACAGCAGAGGAGGCUCCGGAUACUUCUUCCUCAACACGAGCACUGCAGAGGUACUCAAGGUGGCCUACCAGCAGGCCAGGGGAUCGCCUUGAAACACUUAUGUCUACACAAAGUCAUGGAAACUAAACAAC